rnacentral:lncRNA from 1 species
AUGUACGGGGGGUACCAGUACAGAGUCAAUGUGGAGGCUAUAUACAGGGGGUACCAGUACAGAGUCAAUGUGGAGGCUAUGUACGGGGGGUACCAGUACAGAGUCAAUGUGGAGGCUAUAUACAGGGGGUACCAGUACAGAGUCAAUGUGGAGGCUAUGUACGGGGGGUACCAGUACAGAGUCAAUGUGGAGGCUAUAUACAGGGGGUACCAGUACAGAGUCAAUGUGGAGGCUAUGUACGGGGGGUACCAGUACAGAGUCAAUGUGGAGGCUAUAUACAGGGGGUACCAGUACAGAGUCAAUGUGGAGGCUAUAUACAGGGGGUACCAGUACAGAGUCAAUGUGGAGGCUAUAUACAGGGGGUACCAGUACAGAGUCAAUGUGGAGGCUAUAUACAGGGUGUACCAGUACAGAGUCAAUGUGGAGGCUAUAUACAGGGGGUACCAGUACAGAGUCAAUGUGGAGGCUAUAUACAGGGGGUACCAGUACAGAGUCAAUGUGGAGGCUAUAUACACGGGGUACCAGUACAGAGUCAAUGUGGAGGCUAUAUACAGGGGGUACCAGUACAGAGUCAAUGUGGAGGCUAUAUACAGGGGGUACCAGUACAGAGUCAAUGUGGAGGCUAUGUACAGGGUGUACCUGUACAGAGUCAAUGUGGAGGCUAUAUACAGGGGGUACCAGUACAGAGUCAAUGUGGAGGCUAUAUACAGGGGGUACCAGUACAGAGUCAAUGUGGAGGCUAUAUACAGGGGGUACCAGUACAGAGUCAAUGUGGAGGCUAUAUACAGGGGGUACCAGUACAGAGUCAAUGUGGAGGCUAUAUACAGGGGGUACCAGUACAGAGUCAAUGUGGAGGCUAUAUACAGGGUGUACCUGAACAGAGUCAAUGUGGAGGCUAUAUACAGGGGGUACCAGUACAGAGUCAAUGUGGAGGCUAUAUACAGGGGGUACCAGUACAGAGUCAAUGUGGAGGCUAUAUACAGGGUGUACCUGUACAGAGUCAAUGUGGAGGCUAUAUACAGGGGGUACCAGUACAGAGUCAAUGUGGAGGCUAUAUACCGGGUGUACCUGUACAGAGUCAAUGUGGAGGCUAUAUACAGGGGGUACCAGUACAGAGUCAAUGUGGAGGCUAUAUACAGGGUGUACCUGUACAGAGUCAAUGUGGAGGCUAUAUACAGGGUGUACCUGUACAGAGUCAAUGUGCGGGGGCACCGGUUAGUCGAGGUAAUACGUACAUGUAGGUAG